CAGGGAACUGAAACAUCUAAGUACCUGGAGGAAGAGAAAGAAAAAUCGAUUUCCUGAGUAGCGGCGAGCGAAACGGAAAGAGCCCAAACCAAGAAGCUUGCUUCUUGGGGUUGUAGGACACUCUAUACGGAGUUACAAAAGAAAGUUAUAAAUGAAGCGGUCUGGAAAGGCCCGCCAAAGACGGUAACAGCCCGGUAGUUGAAAUAGCUUUCCCUCCAGAGUGGAUCCUGAGUACGGCGGAACACGUGAAAUUCCGUCGGAAUCCGGGAGGACCAUCUCCCAAGGCUAAAUACUCCCUAGUGACCGAUAGUGAACCAGUACCGUGAGGGAAAGGUGAAAAGCACCCCGGAAGGGGAGUGAAACAGUUCCUGAAACCGUGUGCCUACAAGUAGUUAGAGCCCGUUAAUGGGUGAUAGCGUGCCUUUUGUAGAAUGAACCGGCGAGUUACGAU
rnacentral:rRNA from 1 species